AURAAGAACGUAGCGAAAUGCGAUACUUGGUGUGAAUUGCARAAUCCCGUGAACCAUCGAGUCUUUGAACGCAAGUUGCGCCAGAAGCCAUUAGGCUAAUGGCACGUCUGCCUGAGCGUCACGC
rnacentral:rRNA from 1 species